rnacentral:rRNA from 1 species
UACGGAGGAUGCGAGCGUUAUCCGGAUUUAUUGGGUUUAAAGGGUGCGCAGGCGGUCGAUUAAGUCAGCGGUGAAAUGUCCCGGCUCAACCGGGGAGCUGCCGUUGAUACUGGUUGGCUUGAGUGCGGACGGCGCCGGCGGAAUGAGUGGUGUAGCGGUGAAAUGCAUAGAUAUCACUCAGAACACCGAUCGCGAAGGCAGCUGGCGAGGCCGUCACUGACGCUGAGGCACGAAAGCGUGGGGAU